rnacentral:rRNA from 1 species
AUGUAUUCAAGCUACCAACGUAGAUCAGGAAGCGACGAUGAGUUCAUUCAUUUUGUUCUCCCUACUUUAGGAGAUACAUCACAAUCAUCUUCUAGUAGGAGACCAAUGCACACAUCAAAGCUUAUGGGGGGUUGUCGUGUUCAUGAGAUUUUAACAGGACAUGAAAGUUUAUGCAAAAGGAAUUUCCGCAUGGAGGUUCCUGUUUUUCAGGCACUAGUCAAUAAACUGCGUGAGAAAAGCUAUCUAGCUAAUACAACAUAUCUUUCAGUAGAAGAGCAAGUUGCUAUAUUUUUGUAUGGAGUGGCAAAAAAUGCGACUAAUGAAACACUUCAAGAUUGGUUUCAGCAUAGCCCAGAUACAAUACAUCGACAUUUUAAAAGAGUGCUUGAAGCAAUCACCAAUCUCACAACUAUCUACAUACGUCCACCUUCUCUACACCCACAUCCAGUAUUGAGCAAACCAAAGUUCUACCCCUUUUUUAAGAACUGUAUUGGUGCUAUAGACGGUACUCACAUCCCUAUGAAGCUUCCAUUGGAUGAGCAAGAACCAUACAGAAAUAGGAAGCAAACAAUCUCGCAAAAUGUUAUGGUUACCUGCAUUUUGACUUGA